rnacentral:lncRNA from 1 species
GUUGAAGCUGUCAUUUCUAUUCGAUUCAUUUAGAAAGACAAACUUUUCUCUCAUAAGCUAACCCUUCUUUUUUUCUUCAUUCCACGAAUGAAUGGGUUAUGGAAGUUUCUAUGACUAUGUCAAACGAACGUUCAAUUAGGGCGGCCGCAGAACGAUCCAAGCAAGCUCUUGAACUUAGCGGGAGGAAAAGGACGACUUUGAUAAGAUAACCGGUGAGAGUAGGCAAGGGAAGCUCGCUGAAGCUCACUUUCCAAGCGCUAGCGAAGCUAGCUGUAGAAGCAAAGCCAGAAGGGAGGAAGCGAAGUGCAGCACUGAACGAAAGAAGUGCGUAAGCACGGAGCGAGCCAAAAAGUGAGCCAAAGAUCGAAGCCAUUUCAAUUUAGUAGACGAAGCUUUGGCUUUGCAUCCCCCCAAAGGCUCGCUCAGUGCUGUAGUACUUACCUCGCUGGCUCCGCGUUCACUACAACAGUAGGCGCUAUGUAGUUAAGUUAGGCGAACAGUAGCCCGCAUGUUUACCGAGAGCCUAAGGAGAGGGCGAAAGCCAUUAGAUCGUCGAUAGCCUUUCAACUAAAGAGGCCUUUGGUACAUGAAUGGGCCCACUGUCCGCUUCUAUAGUGGCUUUGUCAGAAGUUUGAAAAAAACCAGACUGAGUUGUUCACUAAAAGCCUUGCCUUUCUUUGCCAAGGCCACUUUGACUUUUUAUAGUUCACUGGGUGUCAUAAAGAAACAAAAGUCCCUGAACUGAGUUGUUCACUGAAAGUUUGAGUUGUAGGGGGGGUAGUUUGAUGAAUCAAGAGUGUAGUUGGAGUUUAUGAACUACCAGUCCACUGAUUGAUAGCUUCUAUAGUGGCCCUUAAAGUUUUAGUUGACCUUAUUUGAGUUCGUAGGAACUGAACAGGGAUGUAGUUGUUUUUAGUUAGUACUGUUUGGUACUUCAUUAA